CCUACGGGUGGCAGCAGUGGGGAAUAUUGGACAAUGGGGGGAACCCUGAUCCAGCGACGCCGCGUGAGUGAAGAAGUAUUUCGGUAUGUAAAGCUCUAUCAGCAGGGAAGAAAGAAAUGACGGUACCUGACUAAGAAGCCCCGGCUAACUACGUGCCAGCAGCCGCGGUAAUACGUAGGGGGCAAGCGUUAUCCGGAUUUACUGGGUGUAAAGGGAGCGUAGACGGCGAUGCAAGUCUGAAGUGAAAGGCGGGGGCCCAACCCCCGGACUGCUUUGGAAACUGUAUGGCUGGAGUGCAGGAGAGGUAGGAGGAAUGCGUAGGGUAGCGGUGAAAUGCGUAGAUAUUAGGAGGAACCCCAGGGGGGAGGACGGCUGACGGAACUGUAACGGACGUUGAGGCACGAAAGCGGGGGGAGCAAACAGGAUUAGAUACCCUUGUAGUC
rnacentral:rRNA from 1 species